rnacentral:lncRNA from 1 species
AUUCUGCUGCUUCAGCCUCCCAAGUAGCUGGGAUUACAGAUAACCAAAGUUCUCCCAUCCGUACCUCUUGCAAGAAAAGUUCUUGCAACUUUUUAUUCUUCGUUGGAUCCCACAACUAAAAUAUUCAUAAAAUAUUCAACAAUGAGUAAUGAAGAUGCUCCAGGUAAAUGUAAUGCAGCAAUGGACCAUACUUUGGGAAAGUCCUGGGAAGAAGAGGAAGAAAGACCCUAGAAAAAGUGAGAAGAGACUCUUUAUCUGCUUUGGUUUAUUCAUGUGUAAAAUGAGAAUAGAGGCCAGGCACAGUGGCUCCCUCGUGUAAUCCCAACACUUCAGGAGGCCAAGG